UACAGAAGCAUCGAUUUUCACACGCCAUGAUGCGCCUGUGCAAAUCUUUUGCAACUGUAUA
rfam:Caenorhabditis briggsae complete genome, chrX